rnacentral:lncRNA from 1 species
UAUAACAAUAUAUUGUAAUAAAACUUACAUGAAUAUGAUCUCUCUCAAAAAAUCUUAAUGUAUUCUACUCACCUAUUUUCAGAUGGUGUCCUGGGUAGCUGAACUGUGGAAAGCAAAACCGUGGAUAAGGGGGAACUACUAUAUUCAAAAAUGUGCAAAAUAGAGAAGAUUUCAUUGAAGAAGUCUGCUGUUUUUGGAAUGGGAAAUUAAGGUAGGAAUUUAGAAAAACAUAAACGUUCCAAAUUUCAAUGCCACAUGGCAGGGUGGUGAGGAGGAAGCUGGAGCCAGGGUUCAAGUAACUAAUGAGUUCUCUAGUUGCUAGUUCUAGUUCUCUUUUGAAGAGAAAAGAGUUAUUAUUAGAUAUUUAUCUUUUCAUCUAUAAAAGAAAUACAUCAGAAGAAAUUUGUAGGCAUUCUCCAGUCCAGAAUAUUAUGACUUUAGUAUUGUAACUUGCAUCAUUGUUUUAAUAAUCAGAAUAUAAUUUUCUAAAAGAAUUGUUACAUAUAUUUAAAUUAUCAUACAGAUAAAAAUUGAAGCUCUCAUCUUCUAUAACAUCAUGAGUACUUUUGAGGCAUAACUGGAACAGUUAUCUACUGUGAUUCUUGCUGGGACCAAUAACCUUCUACAAAUACCAGCAUCAGCUCCCAUGAAAGGCAAAGAGCUGACAAGUAUACGGACUGCACCUCCACAUUAAGCUACCAGGAGAAACUUCCAAGUUACCCUCUUGUCACCUAUGCCCCAAAGGUGAACACUGUAAACUGCUACAGCAUGCAAUUUAGCCCAUGGAAUAACUCUGCUGAGAAACCACAGAGUCAAUCAGACUCAAAAUGCUUAAAAUCCUUCCUGCUUGGAGUUUUCCGUCUUCACAUCAAAGCAUUUCAUGCCCGUCAGCAACUUUUUAAUGCAUUUGCUCCUCAUUUGCACAAUUUCCAUUUAAAGACGUUCCUUGGCUGACUUCUCUGAUGAAGUUUCCUGCUUGCCAGGAGAGCAAUGCUAAUGCAGAAAUUACAAAGGGGGCUACACGUCCCUUUUCUGGAGGACCUGAUAUUUCAGAUAAUGUUCAACUUCAGUUUUGGAGAAGCCACUGUUCUUUGCACCAGGGGAAAAGAAACUGAUUUUCAGUGUGAGCAACCUGUGAAGAUAGAGACAAAUCUAAGUAAAUGAGAAUGUCAUUGAGGAAGAGAAUUGAAGACACAAUAGAAGCACUUACUGGACUCCAUACAGUAAUGUCAUAUCUUUGUUUGUUCUAACUUAAGCUUGCAUGUAUACAAUGGGGUUUAAGAAACUUGGCAAGAGUUUUUUUUUUUUUCUUAAACUGAGUUAAACAGUCUUGACUGCCUUCUUUUAAUGAAAGGAAAAAUAAUACACAUAACAAUAGAUUUGAAAAGGAAGAGCCCAAAUCCCCAAGGGCAGUAAUCUUCUGGAAAAUGUUAAUAUUCAUGAGUUAUAGGAAAGUGAUGAGAGCCAACACAUCCCUUUUUUUUUUUUUUUUUUUUUUGCUCCAAGUAAUCAAUUAUUUGCCUACAGCCAAACCAGGCCUUUUAAUAAAAUUAUUAUUACUUAAAAAGUAAAAAGAUAAAAUUAUUAUUUAGCAUUACAUAACUCAAAAAUAAACCCAGGGUUUAUAUUUUAUUAUCUUACACAUCAUGUAAAACUAUUUUGGUGUUUAUAUUUUAUUGAUAUACUUUACACACCAUGUAAUUUAUAAUUUAUUUUUGAAAACAACUUGUUUCAUCAAAUCAUAAAAUGUCUGUACUAAACAACAGAGUUGAAUGAAAUUUGGCUUAAAUAUCCUUAUUUUAUUUCUAUAUUUGUCCUAAAUCAAUUCACCAUGGUUCAGAUUCAAUAUAUAGUUGAUAAUAAGUGAACUGGCUAAUAUAUUCAUUUACUGAAUUUUCAUCCUAUACUACAUAAUAUUCAUAACUAUACAAAAUAUACAAAUAUGGAGUUCCUAUGACUGCUAAAUUAAGCACAUCUAGAUCAGUGUUUUGUCCAUUUUUCAUGUUUCCUUCUCUUAGAAAGAGUUGUGGUUUCUGAAAUGGUGGGAAAAUUUGAAUAUCUACAUUUCACCUCCACUUUUUAGGGGAGAGGUUCAUGAAGAAGUGAUUGAGAAGGAGAGCAAGGCUUGGUUGGACAGUGUAGUAAGUCAGCAAGGGUGAAAAGAGAAUGGGUCCCUGUCAACUAUAUAUAUAGUUCUUCUAGGGAAGGAAACAUAGCCUCAAAUUAGCUUUUCAUCCUGUUCUGACAUUGCAAGGAAAAAAUAGUGAAACUCUUUGGACCACUUUUAUAACUUGCAGUGUUCUCAUUGAGCUACAUUUUUUUAUUUGCUUGCUUUAAGGACUUAGAAGUCUAUAAAGUGCAAAAAGCCCAAAUCUACAAAUAAAAGCCUAAAAUCAUAGAGUUAAUCUCAACAACAGGUGAGAAAAAUGUAGCACGCAGAAUGCCAAACUAAUAG